GGGCACUCUAAGUUGACUGCCGGUGACAAACCGGAGGAAGGUGGGGAUGACGUCAAAUCAUCAUGCCCCUUAUGAUUUGGGCUACACACGUGCUACAAUGGACAAUACAAAGGGCAGCGAAACCGCGAGGUCAAGCAAAUCCCAUAAAGUUGUUCUCAGUUCGGAUUGUAGUCUGCAACUCGACUACAUGAAGCUGGAAUCGCUAGUAAUCGUAGAUCAGCAUGCUACGGUGAAUACGUUCCCGGGUCUUGUACACACCGCCCGUCACACCACGAGAGUUUGUAACACCCGAAGCCGGUGGAGUAACCAUUUUGGAGCUAGCCGUCGAAGGUGGGACAAAUGAUUGGGGUGAAGUCGUAACAAGGUAGCCGUAUCGGAAGGUGCGGCUGGAUCACCUCCUUUCUAAGGA
rnacentral:rRNA from 1 species